rnacentral:rRNA from 1 species
UGUCGGCUCAUCACAUCCUGGGGCUGAAGCCGGUCCCAAGGGUAUGGCUGUUCGCCAUUUAAAGUGGUACGCGAGCUGGGUUUAGAACGUCGUGAGACAGUUCGGUCCCUAUCUGCCGUGGACGUUUGAGAUUUGAGAGGGGCUGCUCCUAGUACGAGAGGACCGGAGUGGACGAACCUCUGGUGUUCCGGUUGUCACGCCAGUGGCAUUGCCGGGUAGCUAUGUUCGGAAAAGAUAACCGCUGAAAGCAUCUAAGCGGGAAACUUGCCUCAAGAUGAGAUCUCACUGGGAACUUGAUUCCCCUGAAGGGCCGUCGAAGACUACGACGUUGAUAGGCUGGGUGUGUAAGCGUUGUGAGGCGUUGAGCUAACCAGUACUAAUUGCCCGUGAGGCUUGACCAUAUAACACCCAAACA